CGGCAACCAUAGGCCGUCCACAUGCUGUGAAUUACAUCUCCCAUCAUGCUGGUUACACAACGCGUUGCUGAUCUAUCCAGGACGGCUUCAGGAUGGACUAUAAGAAGGAGGUUCAGUCCCGAUUGGGUCCGGCGCAACCUCAGGGAGUACAUAUACAGCGGCCUUGGUUUACGACGACGCACAAUGGCACAAAGAAGAACUAAGAGCAGCACUCUGGAGACUGAACAACCUCCUGAUGCGGAAAAUGAAUGGAUCGC